AAAGUAAACAGCAGGGGAGAAAACAUGAUCACAAAGGUGAUUUUCCCAACGUCAGUCUUAUCCAUUACACUACAGAUGUACUGACCCUUGAGAUUUCCCCAAAUGUGGGAAAUUUGACUGCAUAAUUUCAGGUAGUGGGGAACUGUCUUCAUGCUCUCCCUAU
rnacentral:snRNA from 11 species